GCCCUAUUGGCGCAAUGGUAGCGCGUCACACUGUAAGCUGAGUCCUAAAACCCCCAUAAUCAUUUUGUCAUGCUAACAACCUUUGCCAGUCUAAUGUGAAAGUUAUGGGUUCGAUCCCCAUAUAGGGUA